rnacentral:sRNA from 1 species
GACUUAUUGGACAUUAUAUUGUGGACAUAAUAUUGUGGAUAUAUAGAAAACAAUCAGUAUAAUGAAAAGUUAAAAAUCAGUAAACAAAAAAGAAAACAAACCAAAAACCAUAAAACAUUGUGGAAAAAAUUUUAAAUAAUCAAAAAAAAUCUUCAAUUCAUUGUUUGCAUUAUACACUCACAGAGGUGCAAGUAGAGCUGAACAUUUUGGGAGAAGCAUCAAUAUGAUAGAAGACAAAAUUAUUUGGAAUCCUCUUUUUUAUAUUUUUU